AAUAGGACAGGAACGACCACCUUCAGACAAAAACAGUGAGGUAAUUUCCCACCCAAAAACCGACAAGGUGUAAACAAGUUGUAAAAAUGCGAGGAAAAAAAGGGACACCAGUUGGUCAGCAGUUUUAUUUUAUGGCCGGUUUCAUCCACAGAAAAGUCGAGUUAGAGUUACGUAAGUCUCAAGGUUUCCGAAUGAUUGACACCAAUAAAAUAAAAAGGGUUGCUUUUUCUUUUUGGUGAGAACUUGUUAUAAAAUUGCGUAACAAACAGAACAAUUGGUGGCAAAUGGGGGUUGUAAAUUUGUUAAUAAAAGUGUGGCCGUGAAGAUGAAGAUUUUUAUGGGGUGUUUUUGAAGAAAGAAUUGAAUGAAUUUUUGGGAUUUUGUGUAGAGUCAGUUGUUGGCUUGGGGUUUGGAGGAGAGGACAGUUUUUUUUUUGGGGGGGGGAAAUUGGGUGAAAAUGAGAGUGAAAUUAGGGAGAAGGAAUUUGAAAAAGUGUGUUUUUAGGUGGAUUAUUGAGGUGCAAGUUUGUAGUGUUUUUUGAGAGUGCAGUGAUUUGUAGAUAAAAUUUUGGCAUUGAUUUCGGUCUAUUGGGAUGAAAAUGAGAAUGAAAUUUGGAAGAAGAAAUUGGAAAAAGUGUGUUUUUGGGUGGAUUAUCAAGGUGUAAAUUUGUGGUGUUUUUUUCGGUACAAUUUUGGCACAGAUUUCGAUCGGUGGUUGAAAAUAAAUUUGUUACGUAAGUAAAAUAAAGUGUGAUUGUUUUGUGUUUUUUGAGAAAAUCUUUGGGGUAGAUUUAGUCCGGCUGGAGAGUUUGGGAGGUUGUUGGGUUUUAAGGGAGCGGAGGGUGAGUUUUUGGAAAAUAAGAGAAAAAUUUGGGGAAUGAAAAAGUGUGUAAAGAAUUGUGUUUUUGGUUAGAUUAAGGUGCAAGUUUGGGAUGUAGAUACAAAUCCAGUUUUUAUGCUGUAGAAAAUGAAGUGGUGUUUUACAAAAUAGUUUUAAAAAUUGGAAUAUUAAGUUGUGAGAGUGGGUAUUAUUUCUUAGGAAAUUUUUGGAGCUCCAAAUUUGUAAUAUUUAAUGAAGUGUGUGUUUUUUGGAAAUAUUUCGAAAUUAGGGGAGCCUUUACGUCGAAAAAUUGUGUCCAACACAUAAAUACUUUACGUAGACGGUAAAAGAUGUUUCUUGAAAUUAGCUGGAAAGUGAAACUGUUUAAAAAAUAGGUAUAAAAACUUGGAAUAAAAAAAUUUUUGGAAAUUUUGAGCUCAAAAUUGUUUUGAGGUCUUGUUUUUUGAAAAUAUUGUGAAAUAAGGGGAACUUUUUGAGUCGAAAACUGCUGCCCAAAAUACAAGUAAAUAAUAAAAGGUAUUUUUGAAACUAUGAGCUGAAAAGUGUCAUUUUUUGAACAUUUGUUUGAAAAAAAAUCGAACAUGAAAUUUUGAAAAUGAGGGUUCAGCUUGGGAACAAAAGCGAAAAAAGAGUGGUUUCUGGAUAUUUUAGGAAAUUUUGAGCUCCAAAUUUGCACUGUUUUUUGAUGAAGUGUGUGAUUUUUGGAAAUAUUUCUAAAUUUGAGGAGCCUUUACGUCGAAAAAUUGUGUCCAAAACAUAAAUACUUCAUAUAGACAAUAAAAGGUAUUUAUUGGAAAUGCUGGGGAGUGAAGUGUUUGUUUAUAAAAUAUGUAUAAAAAAUUGGAAUACAAAUUUUAUGAAAUUUUGAGCUCAAAAUUUAAAUUGUUUUUCGGUCUUGUUUUUUGGAAAUAUUGGGGAACUUUUUGAGUCUAAAAAUCCUUCCCAAAAUACAAGUAAAUAAUAAAAUGUAUUUUUGAAACUAUGAUGUGAAAAGUGUCAUUUUUUGAACAUUUGAUUGAAAAAAAUCGGACAUGAAAUUUUGAAAAUGUGAGUUCAGCCUGGGAACAAAAGCGAAAAAGUGGUUUCUGGAUAGAAUUUAUUUUGAGAGUGGUGUUUUGAAGGAAGGGAGGGUUGUGAGAGAGAAAUGGCUUCUUUUUCUGGCUGUGAGAGGGAUUGAUGGGGUUUGAGACGAUUGGAUUUUCCGGCUGAAAGACUCAACCUCCUGAAAGAAACAAAUGUUGUUAAACUUGUGAAAAUAAUUCCAAACGAAAUCCACACUUAAUUGGAAAUGGGGAAGAAACAAAUCAAAAUUCGAGAGAUUUUUUUUAAACCGGAGGACUUGUUGCUGGGGGAAAGUGGAGAUAUUUUCAUGAGGGGAAAGUUUCCGGUGGUGGUGGUGGAGAGAUGAAGAUUUUGGGGAUGGAGUUGGUCCGGCUGGAGGCAGAUGUCCCACUCUCCCCGCAUCCCAAAUCCAAUCUUCCUCCCUGGAGGAGGAUACAGGAAGGAAUAAAUCGUCUCAAAAAUCCUGGAAAUAUUGAAGGAAAUUUUGUUAGCUUAUUUUUUUAUGCCUGAUUUUUACCGGUGUUGCUUUUGGAAAAUUUUAGAGGUUGAGGCAAUGAUUCACGCAGUAGCAGUAAUUGAAAUAUCUGGAAAUUUUCUUAAAUUAUUAACUAUUUAGUUUCAUGAAUUCGCACAAUGUGUAAGGAGGUUAAGACCAUCUAUAAUAGAACAUCGUGAUAUUUAAUUUUGAAAAAAUUGUAAACGACAUGGAAAUUGCGUAAACUUACAUUGAGACAAUUCACGUCAACCUUCGUAACUCCGUAGCCAGGUAAACUUGCGAAUAUCAGGUUACGAACGAAGAAAAUAACUUUAUCUUCGUAAGGUUUUGUACCUCCGUAGGUAAAAAAUUCCUUAGAGGUGUUGCCAAAUUUCGGCAAAAGUUCGUAAGUUUACGUGAUUACAAAUUGACGAAUAUUGACGUGAAUUGCCUAGUACUUAAUUGUUCUUACUAUCUGUUACUAUUUUCUUGAUAUUAAACUCUACAAAUAUUUUGUAUCGUUGUCAAACUGUAACAUUAAUUUAACAUUUGAAUUUUGAUACUUAAUAAAUUGAUAUCAUUUUAA